AUUGAACGCUGGCGGCAUGCCUUACACAUGCAAGUCGAACGGCAGCACGGGUGCUUGCACCUGGUGGCGAGUGGCGAACGGGUGAGUAAUACAUCGGAACAUGUCCUGUAGUGGGGGAUAGCCCGGCGAAAGCCGGAUUAAUACCGCAUACGAUCUACGGAUGACAGCGGGGGACCUUCGGGCCUCGCGCUAUAGGGUUGGGCGAUGGCUGAUUAGCUAGUUGGUGGGGUAAAGGCCUACCAAGGCGACGAUCAGUAGCUGGUCUGAGAGGACGACCAGCCACACUGGGACUGAGACACGGCCCAGACUCCUACGGGAGGCAGCAGUGGGGAAUUUUGGACAAUGGGCGAAAGCCUGAUCCAGCAAUGCCGCGUGUGUGAAGAAGGCCUUCGGGUUGUAAAGCACUUUUGUCCGGAAAGAAAUCCUUGGCCCUAAUACGGUCGGGGGAUGACGGUACCGGAAGAAUAAGCACCGGCUAACUACGUG
rnacentral:rRNA from 1 species